AUGGCAGCGCCCACGCACCGGCUCCUCCUCCUCGCGCUGGCGUGCGCGCUCUGCGCCGCGGCGGCAGGGGACCCGCGCACGGCCGUGGCGGGCCAGUCCUGCGCGCCGGGGUCGGCCGUCUCCGGCUCCGUCCUGGCCGACAACUUCGUGCCGGCCAUGGACGACCUCAACAGCAACGUCAGCGCCAACGGCUUCGGCACCUCCGCGGUGGGCGCCAGGGGCCCCAACACCGUCUUCGGCCUGGGCCAGUGCCACCGCGACCUCUCCCCGCUCGACUGCAAGCUCUGCUUCGCCGAGGUCAGGUCGCUGCUCCCCAAGUGCUACCCGCGCGUCGGGGGCCGCCUCUUCCUCGACGGCUGCUUCGGCCGCUACGCCAACUACUCCUUCCUCGGCGAGGCGCUCGGGCCGGCCGACGCCAGGGUCUGCGCCCCGGGGAACGCCAGCAACCCGCGAGGGUUCGCGGACGCGGCCAGGGCCGCGGUGGCCAACGUGACCGAGGCGGCGGUGCGCGGCGACGCCGACGGGUACGCGGUCGCGUCGGCGAGCGCGGGAGGCGCCACGGCCUUCGCGCUCGCGCAGUGCUGGGGGAGCCUCAACGCCACCGCGUGCGGCCAGUGCCUCCGCGCCGCGGCGCGCGCGGCGGCCGGGUGCGUGCCGGCGACGGAGGGCCGGGCGCUCUACACCGGCUGCUACCUCCGCUACUCCACGCGGCUCUUCUGGAAUGUGAACGCCACGGCAGGGUCAGGAUCAUCAGGAAAGAAUGGCGUCGUCUGGAUAUUAGUGGGUUCCUUUCUAGGUGCUUUUGUUGUUGUCCUCAUUAUUGCUUUUCUGGCUUGGAAAAAAGGAAUUCUGAGGAGAAAGAAACAGUCAAAAUCAUUCAUAGAUAUGUAUGGAGGUGGAGUCUCUGUCAGAAUUGCACAGUCCAGUUUAAAUUUCAAAUAUGAAGAGCUAAGGAAAGCAACGAAUUAUUUCGACCCAGCAAACAAACUUGGUCAAGGGAGCAACGGAGCUGUAUACAAGGCUGUUAUGCCAGAUGGAAAAGAAGUUGCUGUCAAGAGGCUUUUCCUGAAUACAAGGGAGUGGGUCGAGCAGUUUUUCAAUGAAGUCGAACUCAUAAGUCAGGUUCGCCAUAAGAAUCUAGUGAAGCUGCUUGGCUGCAGCGUGAAUGGCCCAGAGAGCUUGCUUGUUUAUGAAUACUACUUCAAUAAGAGCCUUGAACUAUUCUUGUUUGAUGCAAGUCGUAGCAGAAAAUUAACCUGGGAUCUGAGGGUUGGCAUCAUUCAAGGCAUUGCAGAGGGGCUUUCUUAUCUCCAUGAGGAAUCAGAAACACGGAUUAUCCACCGAGACAUCAAAGCUAGUAAUAUUUUGUUGGAUGAUAAGUAUAAGCCCAAAAUAACAGAUUUUGGUCUUGCAAGAGCAUUUGCAGCAGACGUAACUCAUCUUACAACUGGUGUCGCUGGAACAUUAGGCUACAUGGCUCCUGAGUAUGUUGUGCAUGGCCAUCUUACGGAGAAGGCCGAUGUCUUCAGCUAUGGCGUUCUUGUUCUCGAGAUCAUAACAGGGAAAAGAUGUAGUGGCUCAAUUGGCUCACACGGAGGGCAGGCGUUGUUAACAAAGGUAUGGAAGCACUACAAGGACAACACAGUAGAGACGAUUAUCGAUCCGAUCAUCUACAAAGAUACGAUCCGGGAUAAGGUCUUGCAUAUAGUGCAGAUCGGGCUGCUAUGCGCCCAGGCGAACCCUGGCGACAGGCCUACCAUGACGAAGGUCGUCGAGCUGCUGAGAAGCCACAAGCAUGAUGUCGAGAUUGUCCUGAGUGAUCCUCCGUUUCUGAAUGUUGAGGGGGUUGAGGAUAUGAAACAGGGCGAGCAGUCACGGUUGUUGUCUGCACACUCUGGUCCUUCGGUGUCAGGGUCGUCUCGGUCUUACUUGAACGGAAGAUAA
rnacentral:rRNA from 1 species